UCAAUACUCGUGAUUAAAAUUCUUACUUUCACGCAAGUAGGAAAAAUAUUCUCAUUAAAACAAUUGAAAUACACCGAUGAGAAUCAGUGAUAUUUAAUUAAGAAACAGCGCAAAAUCGAAAAGUGGUGUGUACCUUUUGGAAAAAAGAUUCGAAGCGAUGAAAUCAUGAAGCGGUGAACACGAAUGAAUCUACAUUAUCGAGAACGUGUAUCCUGCGAUGCGAAACUCUGACAGUGUGCAAUAAUCGCUUAACUGCGAUGAUUACCCGUCAUAAUGGGCCGCUAAUUGAUAGGCGGUUCGUAGGAAAGGGAUUUCUAAAGAAAGCCUGUGGUCGUGAACCCAUCUUUUUCUUCUCUUUUUUAGUCGCAGUACACCGAUUUCUUCCUCGUAUCCCCACUUCUUUCGCAUAAAAUAUCGCGAAAUCCAAUCGAUUUCCUUUUCCUCGCGAAAUAUGCACUUUGGAAAUAUAUGUUUCUACGAGGUGGCCCAAUUCUUCGACCUCGGCUCGAAAGUAAAAUUGAAAUAGAUAUGCAUGAUGCGUUUGCAUGGAUGGAUUUCGAUGGAUGGUUAAUGGCACGGAAAGGAUAACCAUUCUCUAUUCCAGCAGGAGAGAAAAUUGUAUAAUUUUCAUCAUCAAACUUUAUUAUAUAAUGAGAUUAAUUUCUGUGAAAUAUAAAUAAAUAAGAAUCAGAAUUGGAUGGUGAAGAAUGGAUGUGCAGAGUGAGAAAUGAAAAAUUUCAAGAGAUACGUUAAUUUCGUUUUAAGAAACAGUACAGCAUUAUGCGAUUUAUACGUAUUUAAAAUAAAUAUGUUGAACUUAUAUAAACGAAUCUAAAUGGAAUAAUCUGAAUGCGAGUGAAGAAACGAAUAUUCAAACGCAAAAACACGAAGUAGUGACUAACUUUCUCGUGAAGCUAAUGCUCGAUCAAAUGAUAGCAUUGAAUGGAAGAGCGAGCGUUUAUUCGAUCCAGUGUUGAAUUGCAACCAGAAGCUGGUCGGUAGCCAUUCCUUUCAUUACGUUCACCGAUAUUCUAGAAAGUUGUCACUUGGAGGAGGCCUUCUCUCUUUCGCCCAGUCAGAAAAUGUUGAACCUCGUCAGAAACUUGAUGCAACUAACGUUUCUUGCACGAUAAUGGUUUCCUGCUGACUGAUCACAAAUUAAAUUCUCGAAAGUAUCGCGAGAGGCAACUUCCUUCCUAUCACUAAUCACGUAUUUCACGUUUUCAUAAUAUAUUUCUACAAUAUGUACUUCGUAAUCCAAUUUUAAAUGUUCGGACUUGACAAAUUGAAUUUGCUAAUUUAAUUGAAUUUGUCGUUAUGCAUCAGUGAUAGGCAAAAUUUUAAUAACAAUUACUCGAACAAUUUGUUAUUCAAAGUAUUAUUCAAAUAACCAUAAUUAAUUGUGAUAGCAACAAAGGAAUACUAUUCGAGUAUUUUAAAUAUUACUUAAAGUAACCAAUUUCGAACAUGAUGGAUAAAGAUGGCUCGUUAAUAUGCCUACGUUAAUUUUUUUUAAUUCAAAUGUAAUUUGAAAAAGUACUUAAGCGAAGAAUCCAUUCGAAUCAUAAAUUGAUACAAAAUAUAUUUUAUUAUUUAAUGUAAAAGCAAGAUGCAAAAUGUUAACAAGUAAUCUAAAAAUAUGGAAAAAAAGCUCGUUUCAUAUUUUUCAUCAUUUUUCUUCAAUUAUUGCCUUUCUCCAUAAUUGGAUAGCGUAGAAAUAGUAGAAAUCGUUCGACUUUCAGUAAUCGGUCAAUUGAGAUGAGCUAAUAUACAUGUAUUAGUACUAUGCAAAGUUUCUUGUAAUAUAACUGAAAAAGAUAAGGAAAGAUAAG